GGGGAAUCUUGCGCAAUGGGCGAAAGCCUGACGCAGCAACGCCGCGUGCGGGAUGACGGCCUUCGUGGUUGUAAACCGCUUUCAGCAGGGACGAAAAUGACGGUACCUGCAGAAGAAGCCCCGGCUAACUACGUGCCAGCAGCCGCGGUAAUACGUAGGGGGCGAGCGUUGUCCGGAAUCAUUGGGCGUAAAGAGCUCGUAGGCGGUUCAGUAAGUCGGGUGUGAAAGCUCCGAGCUCAACUCGGAGAGGCCACCCGAUACUGCUGUGACUAGAAUCCAGUAGGGGAGCGUGGAACUCCUGGUGUAGCGGUGAAAUGCGCAGAUAUCAGGAAGAACACCAGCGGCGAAGGCGGCGCUCUGGGCUGGAAUUGACGCUGAGGAGCGAAAGUGUGGGUAGCAAAC
rnacentral:rRNA from 1 species